rnacentral:rRNA from 1 species
UACGGAGGGUGCGAGCGUUAUUCGGAAUUACUGGGCGUAAAGGGCGCGUAGGCGGCCGCGCAAGUCUGGUGUGAAAGCCCAGGGCUUAACCCUGGAAGGGCACUGGAAACUGUGCGGCUUGAGUGCCGGAGAGGAGGGGGGAAUUCCCGGUGUAGCGGUGAAAUGCGUAGAUAUCGGGAGGAAUACCGGUGGCGAAGGCGCCCCUCUGGACGGUAACUGACGCUGAGGCGCGAAAGCGUGGGGAGCAAACAGG